CUGCACCCGCUGGUUCAACGUAAAGCACAACCACCAAGCUGACGGAAAGGCGGCAAAAUUUUACCUUAAGGCAGAAAAAAUCCGAACGAGAAGACUAUGGACAAAUCACGCCGAAGGUUCACUGGAAUUAUUUACUGGCACAGAUUUGCAGUAUGGCAUAUCUGGUUGAGGGUAUUUUCUGAAAGCUAAUCUCGAUGAAUUCUUAUUAGGAAGCAAAUAAAUGAAGUAAUACACA
rnacentral:lncRNA from 1 species